CAGAAAGCUAAAUCUGAAGGAGCAAAUCACACUCAGAGUUUAGGUGUCCCAGGACUCAGGGGACACACAGAAGCCCAAGGAUCACCCCUGACGUCUAUGAUUUUGAUCUUAGUUUUGGUUAGGUGUUGGAGGAGGUCAUCAAGAGGAUGUGACUGCAACUUGACCUGAGAGCUGGGACUGGGCAAUCAGAGGCUCCUUACCCUCUCCGCUGUCCUUGGACCCAGCGUUCCCACACUAGGAGCUGUUUCAAGGACACAGCCCUGAGAGAGCAAUAUGUUGUUUAGACCGUCUAGACUGAAUAUGUGACUAAACUCAGGUACAGUAGAAAACCCUGGAAGUGAUCUAUAAAACAAAUAUAAGAAGACUCUGAAAUAUGGAGAGAAGGUAGACCAGCUGUGGACCUUGGGACCUGAAGAAGGACACAGUGGCAAGUUUCCUGGGUUUUCUUUUUUGCCUCACAUCUCCCAGACUAGGUACUAGAAAAGUCAGCAGUACAGAAACAUGAAUGGGCACAGUCAAAAAAAAAAUCCUAUGAGAAGCAUGUUCUCUCAGGUCAAAGGACCAGGGAUGGACAACUUAGCAACACAGAAAACUUUUUGAUAAUAACUGCUGUACACCAGCCAGACAAAAGAACUAUGGAAAAAAAGGCCCAUAGCUCAGUAUGCAGUGGCUGAGAGGGAAACUAGAUUUCUACCCUAGCCAGGCUUAAAGGAGGCACACCAGUCUACACUCCAGUGUGACAUCAGAGACAUCCGAG
rnacentral:lncRNA from 1 species